rnacentral:tRNA from 1 species
AAGGGAGACCUAAUUCAGGUAGGAGACGAAAAAAAAGUAGUCCCAACCAAGAAUCAAUCCCAAAAGGUCGGAGCGAGGCGAAAUUGGCUUUCAAACUAGGUUCUGGGUUCACACAAGACCUGAAUCAGGAACAAGAGCUAUUAGCUCAGGUGGUUAGAGCGCACCCCUGAUAAGGGUGAGGUCCCUGGUUCGAGUCCAGGAUGGCCCACCUGCACAGGUGGCAAAAACAAGAGAAGCGAGGAAUCAGCACCUUAUCUUAUCUAUAUAUAUAUAGGAGAGAAUGCUGGCUCUGAGUAAAGAGUCCAGAGGAACCUUGAAAACUGCAUAGAGCUAGGUGAAAAAGCCAAAAAAGAAGACCGCAA